rnacentral:tRNA from 1 species
GAGGGUAUAGCUCAACUGGUAGAGCGCGUGUUUAGCGUGCACGAAGCCCUGGGUUCAAUCCCCAGUACCUCCA